ACUCUCUCAGGGUCGCACCUGGAGAGUUUCUAGUACUCUACCAGCCUCAGCUACGGAAGGGAGAGUCAAGCAGAGGCAUUCUCAUUCUAUUCCUACCUUGGGCCAUGGCUAGUGAAUGGAAGGCAAUCUGCUACAAAU